AGAGAAAGGGAGGGACCUCUUUGCCCUCCAGAAACCAGGAAGGGAAUUGAGUUGGUCUGCUGCUUGCUUAGCGCAGACAGGGCUCUGAGCUGCACGACAGUUAGAGGGAGAGAGCGAGCUCCGGAGAGGAGGAGAGCAGAGAGAGAGAGAGAGAGAGCUAAGCCAUAACAAGCACCACCACGGCCAUCGCAGAGUGUAUUCUAGGAAUGACUGGGAAGUGCCAAUCGCCAAGUCAGGCCAUGCUUUUACAGUGGAACACUAUUAAAGGUCAGCCGGGACGAUUUCUGUCUCGAUAAAGACCAACUUCUGGUGCUACGUUGUGUCAUGAGUUAGCUUAGCCCGGUAGUGACACUGUGGUUCCGAGGUGGAAGACCCCCGAACUGCGCCGUGUUGGGAACACGAGGGUGCACACGGCCCCCAGAACCAUCAGCCCGCGAGGCGACGCAACCGAAACUGAAGUCGCAGUCUGUCAGUCUGUUAAUCCCCAAAGAACGAUCGUGAUAGCCAGACCCUGCUGCUGCCACUGCUGCUGUGUGUGUGUGUGUGUGUGUGUGUGUGUGUGUGUGUGUGUGUGUGUGUGUGGGUGUGUGUGUGUGUCUGUGUCUGUGUGGUGGUGCAGGGGCGUUGUCUGUACCUCUGUGCGGCGGUGUACAUUUUGUGCCGUGGGGGGGGGGGGGGGCUUUACAUAAAAAAAGAUGAGUGCAGGGGUGGGUCUCUCGGGUCUGUUUGACUUGCAAAGCAGGUGUGUGUGUGUGUGUGUGUGUGUGUGUGUGUGUGUGUGAGUCAGGGUGAAAGGAGUGGGCCCGCCCAAGCGUCCCACAGGCAAACAGGGAGGGUUGCUGCCUGCCUGCCUGCCUGCCUGCCUGCCUGCCUGCCUGCCUGCCUGCCUGCCUGCCUGCCUGCCUGGCUGCCUGGUUGCUGGCUGGUGCACUCUACGGGCCUUGUCGCCCACAGGCAUGAAUUAGUGAUAAGGAAUGUUUCAGACCACAAGGAGGUGUCAGGAUCAGGUUUGUUUGCUCCGUGUUUCCUCUUUCCUGCCGCUUCUCGCGGGUCAUCCGGGGACGUGGCCCUCCUAAAGCUACUCCCACAGACGGAGGCUGGCCGCGCGCCCAGUGUGUGUGCGUCUUAUAUCCUAUCAGCUUCUUUACCCCCGCAAAGCCGCCACCGCCGCCGCCGCCGCCCUGGGGUCAGUCGUGUGUCCCAGGGGGAAGCCUGACCUGACCUGGCAAGGGUGUGCGCGCUGGCUGUGUGUGUGUGUGUGUGUGUGUGUGUGCAUAUGUGUGCGAUUGCCUGUAUGCAAGGAUAGCAGUUUGGCUCAAGUUUGUGUAGGCUCACCAGAGAUCUAAUUCCACCUGUGAAGGACAUGACUGUUCACCAUGUGCUCUCUCUCUCUCUCUCACUCUGGCUCACUCUCUGGCUCGCUCUCUCACUCUGGCUCACUCU